AUACGAAGGGGGCUAGCGUUGUUCGGAAUUACUGGGCGUAAAGCGCGCGUAGGCGGAUUGGUCAGUUAGGGGCGAAAUCCCAGGGCUUAACCCUGGAACUGCCUCUAAUACUGCCAGUCUUGAGUUCGGGAGAGGUGAGUGGAAUUCCUAGUGUAGAGGUGAAAUUCGUAGAUAUUAGGAAGAACACCAGUGGCGAAGGCGGCUCACUGGCCCGAUACUGACGCUGAGGCGCGAAAGCGUGGGGAGCAAACAGGAUUAGAAACCCUAGUAGUCC
rnacentral:rRNA from 1 species